rnacentral:rRNA from 1 species
UACGGAGGGUGCGAGCGUUGUCCGGAAUCACUGGGCGUAAAGGGCGCGUAGGCGGCCUGAUAAGUAGGGGGUGAAAUCCUGCGGCUUAACCGCAGGGCUGCCUUCUAAACUGUCAGGCUCGAGCACAGUAGAGGCAGGUGGAAUUCCGCGUGUAGCAGUGAAAUGCGUAGAUAUGCGGAGGAACACCGAUGGCGAAGGCAAUCCCCUGGACCUGUACUGACGCUCAUGCACGAAAGCGUGGGGAGCAAACAGG